GAGGAGAUUACUUAUCAUAAAGAAGAUUACAAUAACAGAAAAGCCUGAAACAAAACUCAAUCCAAUUUCUAUAUAAAGAGACUUAGGGAAACACAUUAGAGGAGCUGAGGAACCCUUUGGGGGUUCAAAUUUCGUCCUCAUUCUCUUCUCUCAUGUUCUCCACCCUAUUUUCCUCUAUUUUCAUGUUAUUUCAUCAUUCCAUGGAGUGCUAAGCCUUUGGGUUGAUUGUGCUGUAAUUUCUUAAUUGGAUUCUGAGGUUAGAUGAAUAAAUGUGUUUCUUUUGAUUCUUGUUGUGAUUUAUUUUUAUCU
rnacentral:lncRNA from 1 species